CCAGGCUUCCAGCUUCCAACUUCCUGGGAGUCCAUGCCCCCUUCCUUUUCUAGCACUACCUCUGGCAGUGCUUCUUCUACAGUCCUAGAGGUUUCCUCCAGCAUGGAAUCAAUGAAGACCUCAUGGU